GAUGAACGCUGGCGGCGUGCCUAAUACAUGCAAGUCGAGCGAACGGACGAGAAGCUUGCUUCUCUGAUGUUAGCGGCGGACGGGUGAGCAACACGUGGAUAACCUACCUAUAAGACUGGGAUAACUUCGGGAAACCGGAGCUAAUACCGGAUAAUAUUUUGAACCGCAUGGUUCAAAAGUGAAAGACGGUCUUGCUGUCACUUAUAGAUGGAUCCGCGCUGCAUUAGCUAGUUGGUAAGGUAACGGCUUACCAAGGCAACGAUGCAUAGCCGACCUGAGAGGGUGAUCGGCCACACUGGAACUGAGACACGGUCCAGACUCCUACGGGAGGCAGCAGUAGGGAAUCUUCCGCAAUGGGCGAAAGCCUGACGGAGCAACGCCGCGUGAGUGAUGAAGGUCUUCGGAUCGUAAAACUCUGUUAUUAGGGAAGAACAUAUGUGCAAGUAACUGUGCACAUCUUGACGGUACCUAAUCAGAAAGCCACGGCUAACUACGUG
rnacentral:rRNA from 1 species